rnacentral:rRNA from 1 species
AGCUCCAAUAGCGUAUAUUUUAGUUGUUGCAGUUAAAAAGCUCGUAGUUGAAUUUCUGGUGGGGGAAUGCGGUCUGACCCUUAGGGUUAGCACUUGCACUCUCCGGCCAUCCUUGGGUGGAGCCAUUCUGGCAUUAAGUUGUCGGGGUGGGGAUGCCCAUCGUUUACUGUGAAAAAAUUAGAGUGUUCAAAGCAGACUUAUGUCGUUGAAUAUAUUAGCAUGGAAUAAUAAGAUAGGACAGCAGUGCUAUUUUGUUGGUUUGCGCACCGUUGUAAUGAUGAAUAGGGACAGUUGUGGGUAUUCGUAUUCACUUGUAAGAGGUGAAAUUCUUAGAUUAAGGGAAGACGAACUACUGCGAAAGCAUUUACCAAGGAUGUUU